CAUGCGCGGUUGAACCCAAGACUUGAAAAUAAUAAUCAAUCUCGUUAACCAUCUCGGAUUAUUGCUUAUUUCUAUUUUCGUGUGACCUCUGCAGAUUUAAUUUGGUGUAGUUCCUCUAUCAGUCUUGUAUCCCUACGAAUUAAUAAAACAUAGGUCUUUUAGCCACUAUAGAGUUGUAGUCUGAUAAUUUUGCACUGAUUUUUUGCCAAACCAGCAAUACAUUGUGAAAACUUUAGAAAAUACAUUUAUUACGUCCUGUGAAGUCGGUUCUAAGCUUUUCCCGUACGAUGCACCAUGUAAAUGGUCGCUCAGAAUCAACUGGAACUUUUCAUCACAUAUCGAAAAAAUACUGCAAUUCAGAUGUAUACUGGUGAACACGGAAUAAAAAGAUGAACACGGACUAAAUACUGGUGAACACGGAGUAAACUUUAAAAAUUUGAAAAUUUGGGAUUUUACUGGAAUGAUUGAAGACGUCUAUAGCAGUACCCGAUUAACUGCAAAUCUUGUUCUCAACUGAAAUAAAUUGUUGUGAUGUUGGAAGCAUAAAAAAGAUCUGGAGAAAUGUGGAGUUGAAAGACUUGUACCAUUUGGACCAUUUGGUUCAUCAAUUCGUUUUUGCAUAAUCAUUUUCACUAUCCCCGCAUUACACAUU
ensembl:lincRNA C33E10.12 ncRNA